CCUACGGGUGGCUGCAGUGAGGAAUAUUGCACAAUGGACGCAACCCUGAUGCAGCGACGCCGCGUGCAUGCAGACGUCUUUCUGUGUGUACAACUCUAUCAGCAGGAAGGUAAAUCCCGAUACCUGAUUAGGACGCCCCGGCUAACUCCAUGCCAGCAGCCGCAGUAAUACGUAGGGAGCAAGCGUUAUCCGGAUUUACUGGGUGUAAAGGGGGCGUAGACGGUAGCACAAGUCUGGAGUGAAAUGGCGGGGCUUAACCCCGGAACUGCUUUGGAAACUGUGCAGCUAGAGAGUAGGAGCGGUAAGCGGAAUGUAUAGUGUAGCGGUGAAAUGCGUAGAGAUCAGGCGGAACACCAGUGGCGAAGGCGGCUUACCGGACUGUAACUGACGUUGAGGCACGAAAGCGUGGGGAGCAAACAGGAUUAGAUACCCUGGUAGUC
rnacentral:rRNA from 1 species